UACACGGGAGGGCUGGCGGGCGACGUGUGCCAGAACCGGGGCUGAAACAAACAAACAACAACCCGAAAUGAGAAGCAUCCUGUGCCGCCGCCGAUGACUAUGAAAGGAAGCAGCCUUCUAUAGGCUCCGUCCCGCAGCAGCCCAGGAGGAAGGAGCCAAGGGAAAACAGCAAGCCCUGACUGAUUUUCCAGCCCUCAGCUUCCAGCGCUGCAAAAUCACGUAGCGGAGCAGGAGCGCUUUGCAGCCGUCGGACCCGUUCCUGGACAGCCGGAGCGCAGCCAGACCUUGCUGCGUGGUUCACAGCAAAGCUUCUGCACGCAGCCCUUUGUCGCUCGAUGACAUCACCCACAUAUUAAAACAGCAUGUGCCAGCCGGACCGUCCCGGCGGUGUGCAGCUCCGGGGCUGCAGCCGGCAGCGACCCACGGGCAGCCGGAGCCAUCCUGGCCGGAGCAUGCCGGAGGGAACAGCAGUUUGGAUGAAGUCAUCCCAGCUGGGACACGCAGGGGGAAUCGCAGCCUUCUGCUGCGCACCGCACCCCGGGAAGAGAGGGGUCCCUCCCCCCGCGGGUGCUGAGAACCGCUCGUCCCUGCUGCAGGGAUGGGGGUCAAUACCAAACCUGGCGGUGGGAAAUGGCUCUGAAACGUUUCCUGACCGGAGAAAACGAGCGCUGGGAAAAGAUAUUAAA